AUUGAACGCUGGCGGCGUGCUUAACACAUGCAAGUCGAUCGGUAACAGGUGUAGCAAUACAUGCUGACGAGAGGCGGACGGGUGAGUAAUGCUUGGGAAUCUGCCUAUUAGUGGGGGACAACCCGGGGAAACUCGGGCUAAUACCGCAUACGCUCUACGGAGGAAAGCCGGGGACCGCAAGGCCUGGCGCUAAUAGAUGAGCCCAAGUCGGAUUAGCUAGUUGGUAGGGUAACGGCCUACCAAGGCGACAAUCCGUAGCUGGUCUGAGAGGACGACCAGCCACACCGGAACUGAGACACGGUCCGGACUCCUACGGGAGGCAGCAGUGGGGAAUAUUGGACAAUGGGGGCAACCCUGAUCCAGCGACGCCGCGUGGGUGAAGAAGGCCUGCGGGUUGUAAAGCCCUUUCGGUGGGGAAGAAAAGUCUCGACCUAAUACGUCGGGACCUUGACGUAACCCACUAAAGAAGCACCGGCUAACUCUGUGCCAGCCGCCGCGGU
rnacentral:rRNA from 1 species